ACCAUUUUUGUGUAUGUUGCCAGAUACGGCGUUGCCUUUAUGGCUUCGUCUAUCGACAUCUCCGUUCAUCUCCCAUUGACCUAGAUGUUUUCGCACUGGCAUAGAUCGAUUUUAGCUCGUUGCUGGGCACCCGGCUUGGAGAUGUCGUUUUGUACAUCAAAGACAGGCCGGGAAUCAGCUGUAGAAACAUUC
rnacentral:snoRNA from 1 species